CCAUAUAAUAUCACAAAUGGAGUUGAAACCCAGUUGCAAAAAAAGACAAUAACAUCUUACUUCCAAAAAAAAAUCUCAGUUAUUGAAGAUUCACAAAUUGUAUUAUCUCCUCAUCCAAUCCCCAGUUCCAGUGAGGUGUUUACUUUGUAUGAUGAGCAAAUCUCCAAUAUUGAAGAUUCACAAAUUGUAUUAUCUUCUCAUCCAAUCCCCAGUUCCAGUGAGGCGCUUACUUUGCAUGAUGAGGUAUUUAAUUUAAAUACGAAUUAUAUGAUAACUUUUGAAGAAAAUAAAUUAGGACAUUUAAAUAUUUCCAACAUUUAUUGAUUAACUUAAUUAUAAUGUAGCUAAGAAUAA